rnacentral:tRNA from 1 species
GCCUGGCUGGCUCAGUCGGUUGAGCGUCUGACUCUUGAUUUCAGAUCAGGUCAUGAUCUCAGGGUUCAUGAGUUCGAGCCCCGCGUCAGGCU